CUUUAAAUUUCCUCAGAUAAUUUCAACAGCUCAAUUCUGCACGUGUAUCUCACUGUACCUUGUACUGUAUUUGUGUUCUUAUACUGUUAGAUGAGUAACCUGGCUGAGCACCAGACCCAGCCUCUCUUAGCCUUAGCUUUUGCUCCCACUGCAUCGACAUCCAGCUCUGCACACAAAUGGUGCCCAAACAAGGUUAGCACCCAUCAAUUCAUUACCUUCCACAGAAUCCCGAGGCUUGAGAGAUUUGGUUUUUGGCAUUAUCUGCAUAGAAAUGACUGUCUUGAUUUGGAAUUUGGGGAGAUAUUUUUUUCAUGCAACUGUGAUUACAACCUCAUUUUGAGAAUUUCUCCAUGAUUCACUCCUAUUCAAGCUGGAAAUCAACAAAUUGGAGAGGCCAAAGACAGCAAAGGGAAGUAGCCCAGCUACAAGAACCUGAAAAAUCAAUAUGUGACUGCUCCAUAUCCUUUGUAAAAUCACAGAGUGUGCAAAGAAGCCAAUCUCUUGAACAUGCAUUACUUUCUACCACUAACUGGCAAAAAUAACAACAGAAUAAUACACAAAGAUUAAUUCUUCACAAGAGGAGAAAAAUCUGUUUUUUAAGCGACCAAAAUAACAG